GGUGGGGCUUCACCACGUUGGCCAGGCUGGUCUUGAACUCCUGAGCUCAAGUGAUCUGCCUGCCUUGGCCUCCCAAAGUGCUGGGACUAUGGGCUUGAGCUACUGUGCCCAGCCGUGCCUGCCUCUUUAGACACAUCAAAAUCCGCCUCUGUGAUUUUUGCUUAUGGCCAUAUAGAGGCAAUUUGAGGUUCACCAACCACAAGGGAAGUAGCUCCCUGCCUUCAUGAGGCUCUGAUACACUAUAAACCUUCCAUUCAGAACCUGUGAUGGAGUCGAGUGUGUAGCCCUAGCUACUUGGGAGGUCAAGGGAAGAGGAUCACUUGAGCCCAGGAGUUUGAGACCAGCUUGAGCAAUGCGAACUGGAAAUAUCGACAAACAGCACUGAAGGCUCCUGGUCUACCACAGGAGGUGAUCUCUAGUGAAGAAGGUUGAGAUUUGCAUGCAGAAUUUCCAGAAUGCUGAAUAUCAGCACGGAUCACUGCAAAGAAGUUGGAACUCAUCUCACAUGAACUUCUCAGGUUCUCUUACAAGACCACCAACAUUCUUCAAACAUCAGUGAAAUAAAACAGGAGGAGGGUUUCGAGCUCUGGAUCCUCAGCCUGGAAAUGUCACAAUUUAAUCCCAAAGGUUUGCUGUGAAGUUGUAAGCAUGACAGUGUGAAACUCGACAGAUUAUUCUUGAAUUCUUUGNUUGGUUUCGUUGNGACCCGACUCUCAUAAAAUUUAUGNUUUCUU
rnacentral:lncRNA from 1 species